AACUAGCCCCGAUAGUAGUGUAAAUCCUUUUGUGCCGGGGUUCGGCACAAAAGAUUGGAACGGAUAGCGGGACUAAUG
rnacentral:sRNA from 1 species